GACGAACGCUGGCGGCGUGCUUAACACAUGCAAGUCGAACGGUAAGGCCCUUCGGGGUACACGAGUGGCGAACGGGUGAGUAACACGUGGGUGAUCUGCCCUGCACUUCGGGAUAAGCCUGGGAAACUGGGUCUAAUACCGGAUAGGACUUCUGGCUUCAUGGUUGGGGGUGGAAAGCUUUUGCGGUGUGGGAUGGGCCCGCGGCCUAUCAGCUUGUUGGUGGGGUAAUGGCCUACCAAGGCGACGACGGGUAGCCGGCCUGAGAGGGUGACCGGUCAAACUGGGACUGAGAUACGGCCCAGACUCCUACGGGGGGCAGCAGUGGGGAGUAUUGCACAAUGGGCGCAAGCCUGAUGCAGCGACGCCGCGUGAGGGAUGACGGCCUUCGGGUUGUAAACCUCUUUCAGCUAUGACGAAGCGCAAGUGACGGUAGUAGCAGAAGAAGGACCGGCCAACUACGUGCCAGCAGCCGCCGUAA
rnacentral:rRNA from 1 species